GACAGAGGGUGCAAGCGUUGUCCGGAAUCAUUGGGCGUAAAGCGCGCGUAGGUGGCUUUGUAAGUCCGUUGUGAAAGUCAGAGGCUCAACCUUUGAAUGCCGGAUGGAUACUGCAGAGCUAGAGUACGGAAGAGGCGAGUGGAAUUCCUGGUGUAGCGGUGAAAUGCGUAGAGAUCGGAAAGAACACCAACGGCGAAGCAGCUCUGCUGGGCCGACACUGACACUGAGAGACGAAAGCUGGGGAGC
rnacentral:rRNA from 1 species